UAAAACAUGAACGGAAGACUGGUUUAUUUGGUCGCUGAGGAAGAGAUCAGUCUUACCAGAGGACCCUUAGGGCUGGGCUUCAAUAUCGUAGGUGGGACAGAUCAGCAGUAUGUCUCCAACGACAGUGGCAUCUACGUCAGCCGCAUCAAAGAAAAUGGGGCUGCGGCCCUGGAUGGGCGGCUCCAGGAGCGUGAUAAGAUCCUUUCAGUAAAUGGCCAAGACCUAAAGAACCUGCUGUACCAGAAUGCUGUAGACCUCUUUCGUAAUGCAGGUUAUGCUGUGUCUCUCAAAGUGCAGCAUAGGUUACAGGUGCAGAAUGGACCUAUAGGACAUCGAGGUGAAGGGGACCCAAGUGGUAUUCUCAUAUUUAUGGUGCUGGUGCCAGUGUUUGCCCUCACCAUGGUAGCAGCCUGGGUUUUCAUGAGAUACCGGCAACAACUUUGAAAAACUUGCUCUCUUUCAGUACUCCCAAUGAAGAUACAUUUCACUCACCCUCCAUCCCUGCUAUUCUGCCGUGUCUUUCACUCUCUGCAUAGCCAGAUUUGAAGUGACUGAUACCCACCCCAAACCUUGCUGUUCAGAAUCUCCAAUUCUUCAUAUUCUAAUGGGAAAGUAAAGGUAUUAUUUGAAGGAAAACUGAAGAAAAGACUUGCUUAGAACAAAUGAGUUAUAUAUUUUACUAGGACUUUUGAUAGAAAUUCAGCUACAACCCAAAGAGAGAAAGAUUGAGUCUUCAUGUCACCAUAGGCAAUAUCAUUUUUCUUAGCUGGCAUGCCAUAAAGACCAGCUGUGUGACAUUAGAGGAAGAACGGAUUUUUCUUUUUAAUGAUCUUCCUUGGGAAAUUAUUGUGGCCUUUAUUUAAUUUCUAAUUACAUACCUGGGUGCCUAUAUGAGACAAAGGAGAGUGAGAAGAGCAUUUUUACCUUUUUAAAAAAGCAAAUACAUAUAUACACAUACAUAUGUAAAUAUUAUAGUAUAAUAGUGAUACCUAUGGAGAAUUAAAGGUGAGAAAGCUAAA